rnacentral:rRNA from 1 species
CCGGUUGUUUAAGAGCUGCGAUGCGUUGAGCUAUCCUGUACUAAUGAACCGUGAGGCUUAACCUUACCACGCCGAAG